UUUAAGAAAAGAAUGCAAUGCUUGAAAGUUAUGUUCAAACUAAUGACAUAGCACAUACAAAUCAGUGCUUUAAAGAAACCAAAAAAAUGUAUGAACAGUAUGCUACUCAGUAUGUUACUCAAGCUAAAUACUUCUGCUUGUAAAUUUGAGUCAGUGGUGUGUGUGUGUAUAGCUUCCUCUUGCCUCUUAAAUUAACUUUUUUUUAAAUGUGAAAAAGGGAGCAUUCUGUUAACUGCUAGUUUUCUCUCUCGUCAUAUUACUGAUCUCUCCUCACUGAAGAGCAAAAGUCAUUAAUUUAAUCUCCUACACUGCAAUGAAUAAUGGCAGAAGAGUUGCAGUUUAAAGUCAGCCAGCUUUUGUUCAUAUUGACGAGAGCGUGAACAUUCCAAGUAUUGGCCAUCCCAGAAAUGUGAAAAUGGUUUAUUUUUUAAAUCUGUUUGGUGCUUGCCUAGUUUAUUGCAUUGCCUCUGACAUAGCUUCUCUUGAUUUAAGCUUUUAUCAUUUUUUCCCUUCAUUUUGCAAAUGAAAAUAACUUGAUGCUUACUUUACAUCAAGCAAACUGAUUUAAAAACAGAUAUUUUAAAAUAAUGUAACUGCACAAGUUGAUAACUUCUGAUUUAAAAACCCUUGUUUUAAUUUUAUUAUACUUUUGUGCAACAUAUAUAUAGAUACACAUUAACUAAUCUUAACUUUCCACCAUCACUAAGAUCUAUCAUUUCUGAUUUUUGUUGAGCAGCUAAAUACUAAAAUCUUCUAUCAGCAUGUAUCUCUUUCUGCUUAAAUAAUAAAUCUUCCUUCCCAUUUACCCCAUUCUCUGUCAUUGCUUUUACUACAGAUUUUUGCCUUUUAAUUUCAACGGGGAAGUUCACUGUGGUGGAAUGGCUUGGAAGGAAAAAUCAGCUCGGAAUUCAGCUAUUUAAAAAAAAAAACUAACACUUAAUAUAAAUAUUUACAUUUACUCAGAGCUUGAAAUAAACUAAGCAUUACUGGUUCACCAAAAAAAAUCUAAGUUUGCAAGCCUCAACAUCUUUCUCAAUGAAUUUUAUCCUAGAAGUUAGUGUUACUUUUACGUAGCUCUAUCAUGGGGGCUUCAGAAAUUUGAACUGAAUGAUAUAAUCCUUUAGGCACGUGUUUUGCUGCACCUAUGGAUUUCAACCAGUAUCUUGAUGCUAAAUACUGUAUUUAAUGCUAACUUGACAAUUAAAGAAAAUUGCAACUUUCCUUGUUAGCCUGACAGUCUGAUUUGGCUAUGUCUGAUUGUCACAAUUAGUUAUGUGAAGUUGAGUUUGGCAAUCCAACAUAGCACAGCAGAAUAAUUGGUUCGCUGCUCUGAUUGCCAUAUUUGUACACCUGGAAGAAUGAUGUGCAGUUUGCUUGCUUAACAAACUUGACUUCAUCAGGACAUUUAUUUUAGUUCCAGGAGAUCAAUCCAUUGUAUUUAUAUUAUGGGGCUUGGCUUUUUCAUUGCAGCAUCGGCUUCAUGUACAACUCAAAUAUUAAUUGGCAUACGUCUACGGUAACCAGAGAAAAUACUUGGCAGUUUAAAUGCUUAGAGUUGAUUUUCUGGAAUUAAAACAACACCAUAGUUUAAAUAGAGCAUUUUAUCAGUUAAGUUUUAUCUAUUGUACGUGCAGAUUCAUUGUGCAGCUAGCCACUGGCAUUUGGAUUCUCGGCAAUUGAUAAUGAUAUUUCAUGCUAUUAUAGUGGGAAAAGCUAGAGGAGGGAAGGUAUAUGUAGGGCCCCCCCUCAAAUAUCUGACACAGAUUUUUGUAUGUAAUUUAUAAGUACUCUAUUUGUUUUAAAAGCUAUAUGAUGGAUUUAGGAAUUUGAGCUAUGUACCUGUCUAAAGAACAUACAAAGUUUUUAUUUAAAAGAUUUGGAUUUGGGUUCCUAAAUUUUGGAUGGGAGUACAGAGGAAAAAUUUCACCCAUGUCAGGUUUUGUCACAAACAUCUGUUCAACAUGCUUGGCUGUGAUAUUCAAGUUAAAGUCUACAUCUCUGCUUCACUUUGAAAUCUAUUGCAGUUUUAAAGGUUACCUAAACUCUGUUUUGGAUUAAUUUAUUGUAUCUGGUGACUAUUUGUAGAAAUUAUAAUAGUCAUUUGGUGUUUU